GCAUGUGGCGUAAGAUUCGAUGUGACGGAGAAUCUUGAAAAGAUUUUGGUUUUUGGUGCGACCGAGUAUAUCUUUUAUCGUCUAUCCCCUGUACUAUGUUGUGACGUGUGACGGCCGUGCGCUAGUGGCCUCUGACAGUGUGGGAAAGGCAUCGUCGGAAAAGGAAGCAUACUCUUCUCUACACAGGAGAAAGAGUGGAUGAUGGCGCAUGGGCCGCCUGAAGCACCGAUCAAGUCCACCCAACAAUUACUGGACUGGACUGGACUGGAUCAGCACAGCGGCAACCUCUCGCUUUAAACUAAUGAAAGACCUUGGUUGCUUUACAAGGCAGAGAGGGUGCUUUUGGGAGAUGGGAGACAAAAGCGGGAUCAGAACAAGGAUGAUCUGUC
rnacentral:lncRNA from 1 species